rnacentral:rRNA from 1 species
CCUACGGGUGGCUGCAGUGGGGAAUAUUGGACAAUGGGGGAAACCCUGAUCCAGCCAUGCCGCGUGUGUGAAGAAGGCCCUCGGGUUGUAAAGCACUUUCAGUGAGGAAGAACGCCUGGUGGUUAAUACCCAUCAGGAAAGACAUCACUCACAGAAGAAGCACCGGCUAACUCCGUGCCAGCAGCCGCGGUAAUACGGAGGGUGCGAGCGUUAAUCGGAAUUACUGGGCGUAAAGCGCGCGUAGGUGGCUUGAUAAGCCGGUUGUGAAAGCCCCGGGCUCAACCUGGGAACGGCAUCCGGAACUGUCAAGCUAGAGUGCAGGAGAGGAAGGUAGAAUUCCCGGUGUAGCGGUGAAAUGCGUAGAGAUCGGGAGGAAUACCAGUGGCGAAGGCGGCCUUCUGGACUGACACUGACACUGAGGUGCGAAAGCGUGGGUAGCAAACAGGAUUAGAUACCCCGGUAGUC